CCAGACUCCUACGGGAGGCAGCAGUGAGGGAUAUUGGGCAAUGGGGGAAACCCUGACCCAGCGACGCCGCGUGAGGGAAGACGGUCUUCGGAUUGUAAACCUCUGUCUUUGGGGACGAAAAAGGACGGUACCCAAGGAGGAAGCCCCGGCUAACUACGUGCCAGCAGCCGCGGUAAUACGUAGGGGGCAAGCGUUAUCCGGAUUUACUGGGUGUAAAGGGAGCGUAGACGGCUGAGCAAGUCAGAAGUGAAAGCCCGGGGCUCAACCCCGGGACUGCUUUUGAAACUGCGGAGCUGGAGUGCAGGAGAGGUAAGCGGAAUUCCUGGUGUAGCGGUGAAAUGCGUAGAUAUCAGGAGGAACACCAGUGGCGAAGGCGGCUUACUGGACUGUAACUGACGUUGAGGCUCGAAAGCGUGGGGAGCAAACAGGAUUAGAUACCCUAGUA
rnacentral:rRNA from 1 species